rnacentral:rRNA from 1 species
AGUACGUGAAACCGUUCGGGGGUAAACGGACAGAGCCCGUGAAUCCGGGCGCGCGGAAUUCAGGAUCGACGGCGGUGGUUUCGCGUAAGCGCGACGACCGUUUCGUCGAUUCGAUAUUUCCGCCGCCGACCCGUCAUCGGGUGCGGACGUCGCGACCCGUUCGACGUCGGUCUUACGGGGCGCGCUUCAAGUUCGUUUGCGGAGCGUUGGCGCGUGUACUCGUUGCGCGCGUCACGCUUCGUCGACGAUGGCGCGCUAUCUUGCGGGCCGACGUUUGACGGUAGCGGUAUCGAGCGGGGUAUUCGACGCCGCCGUACGACGGCGCGCGUUUCUCUUCGCGGGGAGGCGUGCGUUUGUCGGGCGCGCGCGUCGACGCCGGUCAGCGACGAAUCUUCGGGCCUCUUUCCGACCCGUCUUGAAACACGGACCAAGGAGUCUAACGUGCGCGCGAGUCGCGGGGUAUCGAGUCGCGUUACGCGCGACUCGUCACGAUACGAAACCCGUUCACGUACCGCUGUACGAAGGCGCAAUGAAAGUGAUGGGCGACGCGCGCGUUUCAUUACGCGCGCGUCAUCCGGGAAGACGGCGUUUCCGCGUACACGUUUCUCGGUCGCACGGUACCGAGGCCGGACGCCCGCAUUCCCAGGGCGUCCCGUCGAUCCGUCCGGCAGUGCGGACGUCGUUCGCGCGGCGUCGGCUGCCGGACGAAUCGGGGCGCACCUAUAGCGUGCACGUUGGUACCCGAAAGAUGGUGAACUAU